CGUUGACUUCGUAGGCGCGGUUAAUAGAAACUUAGAAAGUAGCCUAUGCGUUCUUCAGGACUAUGUUCUACAUCUGUGUCAAAUUUAUUCGCGAUCUAACGGAUCAGUCGUUUUGGACUUUUGGAGAUACGUAAUAACAAACAUCCAUCCAUCCAUGCAAACUUUGGCAAUCACUAGUGCUCGCCCGGGACUUCGUCAACGCAGAAUGUAAAGAAGGAAGGAAGGAAAAGCCAUCUCCAAAACUAAACCUCAAAAAUAAUUCUAAAUAAUUGUGCUGUGACACGUAAAGACCAAUAGGAACAGCGAAGCCAGAGUCAGCGAGUGAGCCGGUGCGUUGUGGUGUUGGGACCGUGUCCGUGUGGCAAUGCUCAGGUGCGUCCGGCGCGUGGGGAGUGUCGGCCGCGAGCGGGGAGUCGGUCGGGAGCGGGGAGUCGGGUGCGUGGAGCGGCCAGGAGGCGUCCACCGCGUCCGGCCUGUCCGCGUCGGAGGGCUCGGCCGCGCGCGCCGACAGCCCGGCCACCGAGCCCGACACUGACGACAACGGCAACCCUCCCGCCGCACACACUCCGCUCGCCCCACACACUGCCCAAGAGACAGAAGACGUGCAGAACGAGAACGCGGGCGCAAUGCCGCACUUCAAGAACAUGUUCUACCAAAAGCUGGGGCUGGGCCGUUAAGGUCGGUCGGGAGACACGGGAGACGGGAGGACACAGAAGCGCUCACUCAGGAAACACUCAGGACGUGGACCGAAAUUUAUGUAAAAUGAAUGUAAUAAUAAUAAUAUGUAUUACAAAAUAUCAUUCGAUAAUGUGAAGCCUAAUAUAUUAGUUAUUAUUUUUUAAAGACUUUAAUAAUUAGAUUGGGAUAAAAGCUUUUUCGCUUUUUGUAUGACAAUUGAAAACAUAUAUUAUAGUUUAUUUACAUUUACCUAAAGUAUGUAUGUAGUAGGUAGAUGUCAUUUUGUUCGAUAAAAUCACAAAUUAUGAGCUUCUUCAAAUAUGGUUCGGUUUGAUUACAUCGUAAUAAAGAAUCACAAGUCACAGUUCAUUAGGUUUCUUUCAGUGAGCACGUGACUUGGAUUGAAUUUGGAAUCAUUUUGAUGACAAUAUAACCAGCCAGAUAGUACACAUCCAAAGCGAUUUUAUUAUUCAUCGUACUACCUAUUAUACAUGCGAAAAACCUUUAAACCAAAUGGUACUCUCAAAACGAUGUAUGUAUGUACCUAUAAAUACCGUUGGUGGAGUCUCCGUUGACUAACUGACGUCACUCGUGACAGAUAGCGAUACUGACGAUAUUUCCUCGUAACUAGUAAUGUAACGCGCUAUAGCUUGCUAGUUAUAUUUUAAUAUCUUUGUUCUAAUUACACUUUACAUUAUAAGUAUGGUGUAGUUAGCAGAGAGAGAAAUAGAAUCGAUGAAAGCCGAUGUGGAGCUUACAUUAUUUAGCAAGAAAAUAGUUGUAGUUAAUUCUGAAACAGAAUCACUUGCUUCGCCAGAACUGAUCUCACCGAAAACUUUACAGAUCGCGGAUUCGGUUCGUUCCGUUAAAACAUGUAAUAUUUUUUUUGGGAUUAAGAACCAGCAAACUGAUAAAAAAAAUAUUUUGCA